rnacentral:tRNA from 1 species
GCCGACGUAGCUGAGUGGUGUAGCAAGGUCUUUGUAAGGCCUAGACGGAAGUUCGAUUCUUUCCCGUCGGCACCA